rnacentral:rRNA from 1 species
GGGCCCUAAUACAUGCAAGUCGAGCGGACAGAUGGGAGCUUGCUCCCUGAUGUUAGCGGCGGACGGGUGAGUAACACGUGGGUAACCUGCCUGUAAGACUGGGAUAACUCCGGGAAACCGGGGCUAAUACCGGAUGCUUGUUUGAACCGCAUGGUUCAAACAUAAAAGGUGGCUUCGGCUACCACUUACAGAUGGACCCGCGGCGCAUUAGCUAGUUGGUGAGGUAAUGGCUCACCAAGGCAACGAUGCGUAGCCGACCUGAGAGGGUGAUCGGCCACACUGGGACUGAGACACGGCCCAGACUCCUACGGGAGGCAGCAGUAGGGAAUCUUCCGCAAUGGACGAAAGUCUGACGGAGCAACGCCGCGUGAGUGAUGAAGGUUUUCGGAUCGUAAAGCUCUGUUGUUAGGGAAGAACAAGUGCCGUUCAAAUAGGGCGGCACCUUGACGGUACCUAACCAGAAAGCCACGGCUAACUACGUGCCAGCAGCCGCGGUAAUACGUAGGUGGCAAGCGUUGUCCGGAAUUAUUGGGCGUAAAGGGCUCGCAGGCGGUUUCUUAAGUCUGAUGUGAAAGCCCCCGGCUCAACCGGGGAGGGUCAUUGGAAACU